GAAAAUGAGAGUUUGAUCCUGGCUCAGGACGAACGCUGGCGGCGUGCCUAAUACAUGCAAGUCGAGCGAGCUUGCCUAGAUGAUUUUAGUGCUUGCACUAAAUGAAACUAGAUACAAGCGAGCGGCGGACGGGUGAGUAACACGUGGGUAACCUGCCCAAGAGACUGGGAUAACACCUGGAAACAGAUGCUAAUACCGGAUAACAACACUAGACGCAUGUCUAGAGUUUGAAAGAUGGUUCUGCUAUCACUCUUGGAUGGACCUGCGGUGCAUUAGCUAGUUGGUAAGGUAACGGCUUACCAAGGCAAUGAUGCAUAGCCGAGUUGAGAGACUGAUCGGCCACAUUGGGACUGAGACACGGCCCAAACUCCUACGGGAGGCAGCAGUAGGGAAUCUUCCACAAUGGACGAAAGUCUGAUGGAGCAACGCCGCGUGAGUGAAGAAGGGUUUCGGCUCGUAAAGCUCUGUUGGUAGUGAAGAAAGAUAGAGGUAGUAACUGGCCUUUAUUUGACGGUAAUUACUUAGAAAGUCACGGCUAACUACGUGCCAGCAGCCGCGGUAAUACGUAGGUGGCAAGCGUUGUCCGGAUUUAUUGGGCGUAAAGCGAGUGCAGGCGGUUCAAUAAGUCUGAUGUGAAAGCCUUCGGCUCAACCGGAGAAUUGCAUCAGAAACUGUUGAACUUGAGUGCAGAAGAGGAGAGUGGAACUCCAUGUGUAGCGGUGGAAUGCGUAGAUAUAUGGAAGAACACCAGUGGCGAAGGCGGCUCUCUGGUCUGCAACUGACGCUGAGGCUCGAAAGCAUGGGUAGCGAACAGGAUUAGAUACCCUGGUAGUCCAUGCCGUAAACGAUGAGUGCUAAGUGUUGGGAGGUUUCCGCCUCUCAGUGCUGCAGCUAACGCAUUAAGCACUCCGCCUGGGGAGUACGACCGCAAGGUUGAAACUCAAAGGAAUUGACGGGGGCCCGCAC
rnacentral:rRNA from 2 species